AUCCUUACAUGACUGGCUUGGCAAUUGCUGGAGGUAUCUACUGGAUGGGACUGGAAGGCGCCAUUAUUGGGCCCAUCUUGUUGUGCUGUCUGAUAGUGGUGGUCCGCUUGUAUGGGACUAUGUUACAACCUGACCCCGCCACACCUGACCCAGGAAAGGAUUUUAAUCUUAAUUCUGACAUAUUGUCCCCUCCUUAUCUCCUGUACAAGAGGUUACAGCAUGACACGUGGCAGAAGGAGGCUCUCUGGUGACGGAGGUAGGAAAAGCCUACCCUUCAUGUUGAGAUUUCUUCCACGGUCAAUCAGCAGCAUUGACGUGAAGAAAAACUCAUGAUAUUGGGACAGGAAGAUUGAUGUCUGAUGCAAGGUGUAAUCCAGUCCAGCCCCUGUGCCUCUUUCUCCCCCUGGAGCCAUUCAGUCCCUCCAUACUGGAGUGUUUUGUUUCUGUUACAAUAUUUACUAUAUAUAAUUGUAUACUUACCUGGUAUAUUGUGUCCAGUUUUGAAAUGCUUCUAGUAGUUGAGUUACCGUCACAUGUUUUGGUGUCCAUUAACAUCACUCAGCUUGACAUAAAUAUUGUACAGAUACUUUCUCUGAUAGAUUGAGGAACAAUGAUCAGAGUAAAAUGUAGUUCAGAUGAUAGAGUAGUAUCAUUACUGCUGCUUAUCAAGAGGACAUUGUCCUUAUUGAUGACAUCGGAGGGAACAAUGCUGUUACUUGGCCACAUCACCAUGAACAAUUCUGUUUCUUGGUGACCUCAUGAAGAACAGUUUCUUCAGGUGAAAUUACAAGGAACAAUACUGUUAUCAGAAUACCUCACUGGGAACAUUUCUGUUACUAGGUAAUGUUUAGAAGAACACUGAUGUUCCUUCAAGUCACUUUGUGAGUAACAUUAAGUUUUCUGUGAUAUUUGAGGAAUAUUACUGUAACUUCAUGACAUCACAAGGAAUGAUGAAUUGUUUAUUUAUUUGCUGUAUUUCGUAACUUUAAAUUUUUGACAAUUUGGAAUUGUUUGUGAUUUUUGUGACAAUUUGAAAAUGGAACUUAGGCUUUUCCCCAUUAUCUGUGAUACUUGAGUAAAAAUUUUUAUCAUUAAAAGUCUUUAAUAAUGGGAAAUUACAUGACAUUCUUUAUCAAGAUAUUUUCCUUUAUUAGGUAUUUUAUGAAAUGGUAUGCAAAAAUUUUUAAAUUGAUCAUAAGACCACGAAAAGUCUGAUAAUUUCAAUAUAUAGAAUAAUGAUUAUAUGAAAGAUACUGAAAAGAUUAUUUGAAUUGUUUUAUGUGACAAAUACUGAUACAAUGUAAGUACAAUGUGUUUAUAUAUAUGCAAGUAAGUUCAGCAAAGUCUUGUGCCAGGGAAGUUUAGUUAUUGUUAGGGUUUGUCAAUUGAUAUUGAGAAAACAUGAAAACUCAAUAUAUUGCAAUUAUAGAUUUUUCACCAAGAUGCUUGAAGCUGUAUAAGGGAUGCCUUUCACAAUUAAGUGCUUGAAAUUUCGGUUUGUUUCCUUGAAGAGUUCUUGAAUAUUUAUACAAUGUUUUUGUAUGGAGCUAAUGUUUAGUCAAUUUUUGUUUGCAGCGAUGAACAGCAAAAUCAUGACAUUCAAGAUUCACUUUUUUCUCCUCUGGUAAGAUUUUAUUAAGAGGAUGAUUUUUUGAAAAAGAACACUGAAUGUUUUAAUCAGUUUUUGAUAUUUUUAAAGCAUUUUAACUGAUAUAAUGUAAAAAGUAAUGUCCAAAUAACAAGAUUGUGACAUGAAAAAAUUGUAAUAUAUAAUCUCAUUCUUAAUUAUUAUGAAAUGAUUUUUAUUGACUGUUUUUUUCAACUCCACUAGAGGAAUUUUGAUGCACAUGAUAUAUACUAAACCUGUCUUUAGUUAUAGAUGUAAUAUCUAGCUAUAAAUAAACCAACAUCUAUAUGUUUGCAAUUCAUACACCAGGGAUUGUUUUUCAACUUUAAGUUAUAAAAAGUGUCUAUUGUUGAGUAAGAAGCUUUUGUUUUGAUAUGCCUGAAUUCCUGAAAAGUUCCGUCCUUAAAUGGCCGUAGGUAUUGAUAGGACGUUACACAAUAUAAAACUGAAUGCUGGAAAGUUAUGAAACUAUGACAGAUUUAAACCAUGAUAUUAAUUUCUUUAUAUGUUUCUGAUUAUCUGUAAAUGUGAUGUAGAAAGUCUGUGUUUUGUUUGCUUAUCAUUUAAAUGAUUUUUAGUCCUGUUGUCUCUUAAUUGUUGUGUAUUGAAGUACCUGAUAUCUUGUCUGUCUACACAUUGAAUUUUAGAAUGUUUCCUACUACAUCCUAUAAACUUGAUGAUUAUAUGGGUUUAAUGAGUAAAGUGGGCAUUCUAUACCUGUAACCUUUUACUCUGUUUGAUUUCUAAGGGUUUAAGUAGUCACCCUGAUGACAUGGUCACCCGGUGCCAAGGUCACACAGACUUGUAUGUGUUUUACUGAGAUUUUACUUGAUUACUCUGGAGUGAAGUUCAUACAGACUUGUGUGUUUCACUGAGACUUCAAGUUAUCACGCUGGUCACUCAGACUUGUGUGUUUUACUGAGACUUCAAGUUAUCACUCCCUAGUCAUGGUCACACUGAUGUUUUACUAGAUCACAUGACUUUUUGGUAGUAAUGUAAACAGCACUUGCUAUUAACUACCGGUAGUUAUGUUAUGUUAUUGUAUGACAUAUUUCAUGAUAAAAUGUGGUUCAUGGAUAUGAAAAAAAAAAUUACGGAAAUAUUAAUAUCAACCUGUAUGUAUCCUGCUAUAAGUGGAGGAGACAAACAUAUAAAUAAUUACUGGAAUUUAAAAGAUUGUCUUAUUGAAGUACAUUAAAUUGUAAUUCUACUGAACAGUAAUAGAUGUGUAUUGAUGUCUACAAGGCAUGUACUUACAGCAGAAUAAACAUAAUACAUGUAUGAUGUAGGAUUUAGUUUCAUUUAAGUAUGAAGUAUACUUUUUUUAAUAAUAUUUAAAUAAUUACAUUUUAAUUUCUCUGUUUUCCAUAAAUAUGUACAUGUCAAAAAUUUCAGUUAAAGUUAAAUUGUAUUUCUGAUAAUAUAAUUAUGAUACCAACCAUAACCUUAAUAUGGAACUUUUACACAUACACUCAGUUUUAAAACUGCUGUUCAUACUUUGUGAUAUGUUUUAGAUAAUGAUUUGUGCUUAUCUUCAAAAAGUAAAUUUUUGUGUGACAUGAUGCAAGAUCUUUGAGUGCUUGCUAAAAGUAAUAUAUUGUAUUAAAUUUGUAUCUAAUAACCGGACAACAUGAAAACUUGAUUUCUCUCAAAAGUUUUGGCUUUUGCAGAAUUCAGCCUUACAAUUUCCGAUACAUGUUUAUUAGUAUGUUUAAUCCCUCUUUGCAUGAUAUGAAUGCCCCUGUUCCCUGCAUAUUACUUUUUUCUUAUUUUUUUUUGGACUGAUAAAAAAAUAAAAAAUGGCUUACAGGCAGCUGUCUUGGAUUUGACAUUACAAUGAAAGAUUGUUGCUGCCAUUUCUUUAGAAGUUACUGGAUGGACCUUUCUCAAAUUAAUAAUGUUUGCUCCUCUUGGCUACUUGUUGUAGUGAUUUGAUUUUGGCACUGAUCCAAAAAAUAAACUGGCCGAUGGGUGACCAUCUUGGAUUUGGCAGUUAAAUAUUAUCGCCAUUUUAAGAGAAAUUUUCAAAUUUUACAUGAUUAGGAACAAAAACAGAGGAAAGCAGAGAAAUGAACAAAUGAAGAUAAAACAAUAAUGGGGACCAGGAUCCCUCUUGGAUCUCUUUUUACUUCUGUCGUGGUAUAAGUUUGAUCUAAAGUGAUUCAGGACAGCAAAGGGCAAAUGUGGGUAACACUAUUUGCCGUGCCCCUAUAAAAUUGUGCGGAUGGAAAAAAAUACUUAGCCAUAUAUCACAUCUUAAAUGGACAAGGUUUCUUCAAAUUUUGAGUGUAAAUGAUAAAAUAAUACUGUAAGGAUUUUAAUAUUUUAACCACUGAUAUUUCUUUUAUUUAGUGUUUGUGGAUUUUUCCCCCUUUUUUCCAUAUGGGGAGAUGUAUCAGUAGAUGUUUUUUUAUCAAGCACCACAUGAUGUUGGAUAGUCAAAUCCAAGUUUGAAUGCUUUGCAUAUAAACUAAAUUUGUUAUUUAUUAUGUGUAUGUUGCAACAUUUAUGUUUAUCUCUGUAUGAUUUGAUUGUUGCAUUGUUAUUUAUUUAUAUAUUUAUUAAGUUUAUUUCAAGCUUUUUUUACUUUUUAAUGUUAAGACCAAUUAAAUUUGCAGUUUGUGCAAUGAAAUAAAAGAGACCCAUUGGUCCUGUAAUGCUUA